CACAUUACCUCUUAUCCUCUUGGCCGGCCAUCCUCUCUUCUUAUUUUCUUUUCUUUCUUUUCUUUUCUCUCAUAAACUCCUCUCUAUCACUCUCUCAUCCUCUCACCGGUACCUCCUUAUCACCAUCUCCACCAUCAUUUUUCCGGCAAUAUCACCAGAAAAUCCUUAGGAACCUCUAAGCACAUUCACAUCUUUUAUUUGAGUGAUCACCCGAUUUGGUUUCUGUAGUCUUUGUGACAAUGGAAUCAAAUCCAGGUUAGUGCCCUUUUACUUUGGAUGACGCGUUCUUCCCUGCUACCUAUAGGGGAAAGAGGUUCCUUGAUUGCGUGUGAGUGAGGCUGCUGCCCAUGGGGCCAAGAGACCACAUGCAAGAGAGGUCCUAUUUGAUGCGCUCUCUCUGCUACUCA